UUAGUUCCCUGGAAGAUACAUCACAAACUGACCCAGUAACCUUAAGCCCUUUGGAAGCCCAUUCUUGUAAGCGUUCAUUCAGCUGUGCUGCAUUUCUUGAACACGUGUGUAUAGUCGCACCCAAUUCAGCCAGUUCCUCCACCACGGCAAACCUGCAGAGUUUUGUCAUAAAAUCAAUCGGAGCCUAAUUAAAAUGAAAUGAAAACCCGGAAAUUAAAAAAGCAGACCCAAUUCCGCGAGUGCCUCCAGUUACAAGAGCGGUCUUGCCUGCAAGAGACCAUCUUGAGCUGCUGCUGCUCUCUGCAACCUUCGCCAUUCCUGCCUCUGCUGCUAACUAAUCUCUCAGCAGGCUGGACGCUCGCCUAGACUAGCGUUCGUGUACU
rnacentral:lncRNA from 1 species